rnacentral:sRNA from 1 species
UGUCACUUGGCCUUCAUUAGUCAGCAUAUUGCAUUUGCCAAACCUAAUUUCUGGACUCUUCUUUACCAUCUCCAUUCUGUCUUUUUUUAUUAUUACCAGGUUAUUCUCUAAACUCUUUCCAUUCAUCGCAUCCAUCUAUUAUGCCAACAUUUUUAUUUUCUAACUAUAGAUGAUGACAAGAUAAUCUACGACAAGGUAUCUUCUGUAAGACCCGUGAAUUAGGAAGGUGGGACAAGGUGGUCACCCACCAUUUCCCUAAAACACGGGUGCUUGUUUGGAGGAGGGAUGCAUUAUUGAUACAAGGAAAGAAGAAAAGGGGGCGGCUGGGGGAAGAGGGUGUGUUUUUCAGUUUUUUUAUUUUGGGGGUGUCUUUUGAGAGAAGGGAAUCAGAAAGCGUAGGAAGUUUAUGGGGGACAGUGUGUUUCGUUUGUUUUUGGCUUGAAGAGUGAGAGAGAGAGAGCCGUGAGAGAGAGAGAGCCGUGAGAGAGAGAGAGAGCCGUGAGGGAGAGGGAGCAGCAGGAGGAAGGGAGCCUUCCUUCCUUCCGUUUCCAGCCGUUCGAAGAUCACCUGGGAGCUUUACCAACUUCAGGAAGACUGAGAUGGAUCUGGGUUGAGUUGUUGCAAUGUUUGCUGGGAGAAGAAGAAGUGAAGAACUCUUAAAGAUUGGAAGAAGAUCAAACUCUCUAGAAAUGAUUCAAGGAGGUCUUCAAGAGACGUUGUUGAAGAGGUUUCCCUUGAAGCAAGAGCUGGAGGUUGCUGAUGUUGCAGAAUAGUCUUCUUAGAGUUUCCUGAUUGAACACUUGUAGUGUUUAAUCCUUUCAAAUGUUCAAGUUUAAAUUUUCAGUGUCUGUUAUUGGUGAAUGACUGUAAUUUCAUAUUUAAUUACACUUCAUACUCCGACUGUUCCCUAUAUUUGGAUGUUAACGUCUUUAUUAUAUAAUAUUGGUUAUUAUAUAAUCGGGAUGUGACAUUAAUGGUAUCAGAGCAGUUCGUCCUUAGGAUGACCUUUGUGUUGUAGGUUUGCCGUGUCUUCUCUGUGAAGACUUGGGUGUAGAUGGUAUGAUGUACCAUUUCUUUCAAGUCUAGAUUGUGGUGUGUGUAUCUAACUAGAAGUUUUGAUAACAGAAAACGUCUUGAUAGGAGUGAUGAGGGUGCACACUCAUGACUUUUACCGUAGAUGAUUUUCCUUUCUUAAUUCUGAAGGUUUGAGGUAAGAAAGAGUUAGAGUUUCAGUGU